rnacentral:rRNA from 1 species
AGCGAACGCUGGCGGCAGGCCUAACACAUGCAAGUCGAACGGACCCUUCGGGGUUAGUGGCGGACGGGUGAGUAACACGUGGGAACGUGCCUUUAGGUUCGGAAUAGCCCCUGGAAACGGGUGGUAAUGCCGAAUGUGCCCUUCGGGGGAAAGAUUUAUCGCCUUUAGAGCGGCCCGCGUCUGAUUAGCUAGUUGGUGAGGUAAUGGCUCACCAAGGCGACGAUCAGUAGCUGGUCUGAGAGGAUGACCAGCCACACUGGGACUGAGACACGGCCCAGACUGCUACGGGAGGCAGCAGUGGGGAAUCUUGCGCAAUGGGCGAAAGCCUGACGCAGCCAUGCCGCGUGAAUGAUGAAGGUCUUAGGAUUGUAAAAUUCUUUCACCGGGGACGAUAAUGACGGUACCCGGAGAAGAAGCCCCGGCUAACUUCGUGCCAGCCGCCGCCGUAAUAC